rnacentral:rRNA from 1 species
AUGUGGUUUAAUUCGAUGAUACGCGAGGAACCUUACCUGGGCUCAAAUGUAUGUUGACGUAUUCUGAAAGGGAUACUUCUUCGGACAAUAUACAAGGUGCUGCAUGGUUGUCGUCAGCUCGUGCCGUGAGGUGUCGGGUUAAGUCCCAUAACGAGCGCAACCCCUAUCAUUAGUUGCCAUCAGGUCAAGCUGGGGACUCUAAUGAAACUGCCUACGCAAGUAGUGAGGAAGGUGGGGAUGACGUCAAGUCCUCAUGGCCUUUAUGACCAGGGCUACACACGUACUACAAUGGCCGAUACAAAGGGCAGCGACACUGCGAGGUGAAGCCAAUCCCGUAAAAUACGGUCUCAGUCCGGAUUGGAGUCUGCAACUCGACUCCAUGAAGUUGGAAUCGCUAGUAAUCGUGGAUCAGCAUGCCACGGUGAAUACGUUCCCGGGCCCGUU